rnacentral:lncRNA from 1 species
CAUGAUUCGCAUGUAAAUCACCUUUACCCUGCAACUUGUUACAAUCUUUCUUGAUGUGUCCUUUCCUCUUGCAGUAAUAAUAAUACACAUUGCUAUACCUCGCCUUUGAUCUACCCCUCUGUCGAUCACCAUGAGUAACCUGAGCAUCCACACUCCUAGAUAUAGGAUCUCCAACCAAUAGCUCCAUCUUCUCCUUUGAGAACAGGGCGUUGUAUACCUCCUCAAUGGAUA